GGGAGACCUGAGGGACCUUAUAAGGGAACUACAACUACCCACGAUACAAAUGACAUGGUAGGAUCCAACGGCCUUUUACACCUUCUCAACUGAGGUACAACGCCUGGUACAGCAGCCCUCCAGGCCCAGAAGAACAAGACAACAGACCACAUGCCCCACGGGCACCAACAUGUAAAGGACCAUGCACUACCUGCCUACCUCCCCAGGAACCCGCAUGGCUCCAGCUGAAGGCUAGAUGGACAUUACUUGUUCCCGACUCACGAGACCAGAGUCACUGGACGCACCGCGCUGAACUCCCCAGAACCGCAAGUAUACAGCCUACGGGUCGGCACACCCAACAGGGUCCCAUACUGACACAAUAGUUGAGACAUAAAGAGGUGCACCGAACCUCGGAACCCAAGCAGAGAGCCGGCAAGGGAC